AUUGAACGCUGGCGGCAGGCCUAACACAUGCAAGUCGAGCGAGAGUCGGACGGGGGAGUAAUAUAUGGGGAUCUGCCCGAUAUAGGGGGAUAACUACUGGAAAAGCUGUCUAAUACCGCAUACUCUCGUAUAUGCCCAAAUGUGAUUAGCUAGUAGGUAAGUGAAUGGCUCACAUAGUAGACGCUCCCUAGCUGGUCUGAGAGGAUGAUCAGCCACACUGGGACUGAGACACGGCCCAGAUUCCUACGGGAGGCAGCAGUGGGGAAUAUUGCACAAUGGGCGCAAGCCUGAUGCAGCCAUGCCGCGUGUAUGAAGAAGGCCCUAGGGUUGUAAAGUACUUUCAGUCGGGAGGCGUUACCGACAGAAGAAGCACCGGCUAACUCCGUGCCAGCAGCCGCGGUAAUAC
rnacentral:rRNA from 1 species